UACAGAGGUCUCAACCGUUGUUCGGAUUCAUUGGGCGUAAAGGGUGCGUAGGCGGUCGGGUAAGUCGGAUGUGAAAUCCCAGGGCUCAACCCUGGAACUGCAUUCGAUACUGCCUGGCUAGGGUACUGGAGAGGAGACUGGAAUUUACGGUGUAGCAGUGAAAUGCGUAGAUAUCGUAAGGAACACCAAUUGCGAAGGCAGCUCGCUGGGACGUUACUGACGCUGAGACGCGAAAGCGUGGGGAGCAAACAGG
rnacentral:rRNA from 1 species